rnacentral:rRNA from 1 species
GACGAACGCUGGCGGCGUGCAUAAUACAUGCAAGUCGAACGCUUCUUUUUCCACCGGAGCUUGCUCCACCGGAAAAAGAAGAGUGGCGAACGGGUGAGUAACACGUGGGUAACCUGCCCAUCAGAAGGGGAUAACACUUGGAAACAGGUGCUAAUACCGUAUAACAAUCAAAACCGCAUGGUUUUGAUUUGAAAGGCGCUUUCGGGUGUCGCUGAUGGAUGGACCCGCGGUGCAUUAGCUAGUUGGUGAGGUAACGGCUCACCAAGGCCACGAUGCAUAGCCGACCUGAGAGGGUGAUCGGCCACAUUGGGACUGAGACACGGCCCAAACUCCUACGGGAGGCAGCAGUAGGGAAUCUUCGGCAAUGGACGAAAGUCUGACCGAGCAACGCCGCGUGAGUGAAGAAGGUUUUCGGAUCGUAAAACUCUGUUGUUAGAGAAGAACAAGGAUGAGAGUAACUGUUCAUCCCUUGACGGUAUCUAACCAGAAAGCCACGGCUAACUACGUGCCAGCAGCCGCGGUAAUACGUAGGUGGCAAGCGUUGUCCGGAUUUAUUGGGCGUAAAGCGAGCGCAGGCGGUUUCUUAAGUCUGAUGUGAAAGCCCCCGGCUCAACCGGGGAGGGUCAUUGGAAACUGGGAGACUUGAGUGCAGAAGAGGAGAGUGGAAUUCCAUGUGUAGCGGUGAAAUGCGUAGAUAUAUGGAGGAACACCAGUGGCGAAGGCGGCUCUCUGGUCUGUAACUGACGCUGAGGCUCGAAAGCGUGGGGAGCAAACAGGAU